rnacentral:tRNA from 1 species
GGACAAUUAGCUCAGUGGUAGAGCGCCUCGUUCACAUCGAGGAAGUCGCUGGUUCGAAUCCAGCAUUGUCCA